UACGUAGGGUCCGAGCGUUGUCCGGAUUUAUUGGGCGUAAAGGGCUCGUAGGCGGUUUGUCGCGUCGGGAGUGAAAACGCCGUGCUUAACACGGCGCUUGCUUUCGAUACGGGCAGACUAGAGGUAUGCAGGGGAGAACGGAAUUCCCGGUGUAGAGGUGAAAUUCGUAGAUAUCGGGAGGAACACCAGUGGCGAAGGCGGCGAUCUGGGAAGAUACUGACGCUGAGGUGCGAAAGCGUGGGGAGCAAACAGG
rnacentral:rRNA from 1 species